ACUGCCCUAAGUGCUCCUUCUGGC
rnacentral:ncRNA from 10 species